rnacentral:rRNA from 1 species
GACAGAGGGUGCGAACGUUGUUCGGAAUUACUGGGCGUAAAGCGCAUGUAGGCGGCAGCGCAAGUCGGGCGUGAAAUCCCACGGCUCAACCGUGGAAGUGCACUCGAAACUGCGCAGCUAGAGUCCUGGAGAGGAAGGUGGAAUGCUUGGUGUAGAGGUGAAAUUCGUAGAUAUUCGCAAGAACACCAGUGGCGAAGGCGGCUCACUGGCCCGGUACUGACGCUGAGGUGCGAAAGCGUGGGGAGCAAACAGG